rnacentral:rRNA from 1 species
AUUGAACGCUGGCGGCAUGCCUAACACAUGCAAGUCGAGCGGAGCGGCGGACGGGUGAGUAAUGCCUAGGAAUCUGCCUGGUAGUGGCGGAUACCGUCCGGAAACGGGCGCUAAUACCGCAUACUUUCAGAUCAGCCUAGGUGGGAUUAGCUAGUUGGUGGGGUAAAGGCCUACCAAGGCGACGAUCCGUAACUGGUCUGAGAGGAGGAUCAGUCACAAUGGGACUGAGACACGGUCCAGACUCCUACGGGAGGCAGCAGUAGGGAAUAUUGGGCAAUGGGCGAAAGUCUGAUGGAGCAACGCCGCGUGUGUGAAGAAGGCUUUCGGGUUGUAAAGUACUUUCAGCGGGGAGGCGUUACCCGCAGAGGAAGCCACGGCUAACUCCGUGCCAGCAGCCGCGGUAAUUC